GCACGGGUGCCCGAGUGGUUAAGGGGGCAGACUUAAGAUCUGCUGGUCUGGUGACCGCGUGGGUUCGAACCCCACCCCGUGCA